CAGCAGCCGCGGUAAAACGAAGGGUGCAAGCGUUAAUCGGAAUUACUGGGCGUAAAGCGUGCGUAGGCGGUGAGUUAAGUCUGCUGUGAAAUCCCCGGGCUCAACCUGGGAAUGGCAAUGGAUACUGGCGAGCUAGAGUGUGUCAGAGGAUGGUGGAAUUCCCGGUGUAGCGGUGAAAUGCGUAGAGAUCGGGAGGAACAUCAGUGGCGAAGGCGGCCAUCUGGGACAACACUGACGCUGAGGCACGAAAGCGUGGGGAGCAAACAGGAUUAGAUACCCGUGUAGUCCCUGUCUCUUAUAC
rnacentral:rRNA from 1 species